CCUACGGGAGGCUGCAGUGAGGAAUAUUGGUCAAUGGGCGCAAGCCUGAACCAGCCAUCCCGCGUGAAGGAAGAAUGCGCUAUGCGUUGUAAACUUCUUUUCCAGGGGAAUAAAAUUUCGUACGUGUACGGGACUGAAGGUACUCUGGGAAUAAGCAUCGGCUAACUCCGUGCCAGCAGCCGCGGUAAUACGGAGGAUGCGAGCGUUAUCCGGAUUUAUUGGGUUGAAGGGGUAAGAAUAAGGAAGAAUAGAAAACCUUCAGCUUAACUGGAGACUUGCCAUUGAUACUGUUAUUCUUGAGUAUAGUUAAGGUAGGCGGAAUGUGUAAUGUAGCGGUGAAAUGCUUAGAUAUUACACAGAACACCAAUUGCGAAGGCAGCUUACUGAGCUAUAACUGACGCUGAUGCACGAAAGCGUGGGGAGCGAACAGGAUUAGAUACCCCUGUAGUC
rnacentral:rRNA from 1 species